UACUGGUCUAUACUGGUCCAUACUGGUUUAUACAGGUUUAUACUGGUUUAUGGCCAUUCAUACUGUUUAUACUGGUUUAUAUUGGUUUACAGCAGUUUAUAUUGGUUUGUACUGGUCCAUAUUGGUUUAUACUGGUUUAUACUGGUUUUUAGCAGUUUAUAGUGGUUUAUUUGGGUCCAUACUGGUCCGUACUGGUUAUACUGGUCCAUACUGGUCCAUACUGGUUUAUACUGGUUUAGGGGCUGACGUGGGUGCCGUUCCUGGAGCGGAUGGCCGCCGUGACUCGGCUGGAGCUGGGUUAUACUGGUUAUACUGGGUUAUACUGGUUUAUACUGGGUUAUACUGGUCCAUACUGGUUUAUACUGGUUUAUACUGGUUUAGGGGCUGACGUCGGUGCCGUUCCUGGAGCGGAUGGCCGCCGUGACUCGGCUGGAGCUGGGUUAUACUGGGUUAUACUGGGUUAUACUGGUUAUACUGGGUUAUACUGGUUUAUGCUGGGUUAUACUGGUUAUACUGGUUUAUACUGGUCCAUACUGGUUUAUACUGGUUUAGGGGCUGACGUCGGUGCCGUUCCUGGAGCGGAUGGCCGCCGUGACUCGGCUGGAGCUGGCUGGGAACGAACUGCGGGAGCUGCCGGCGGCGCUGGGAGCGCUGCGGGGCCUCAGGGUGAGACACCAGUUAAACCAGUAACCAUUCCCAGUUACACCAGUGACACCAGUAACACAUCCCAGUUACACCAGUGACACCAGUAACCAUUCCCAGUUACACCAGUAACCAUUCCUAGUUACACCAGUAACACAUCCCAGUUACACCAGUAACCGUUCCCAGUUACACCAGUGACACCAGUGACACAUCCCAGUUACACCAGUGACACAUCCCAGUUAAACCAGUAACACAUCCCAGUUAAACCAGUAACACACCAGUAACACCAGUAACACACCAGUAACCAUUCCCAGUUACACACCAGUAACACAGGGAGCCCCUCCCAGUCCCUCCCAGUAUAAACCAGUCCCUCCCAGUUCCCUCCCAGUCCCCUCCCAGUUCCCUCCCCGUCCCUCCCAGUCCCCUCCCAGUUCCCUCCCCGUCCCUCCCAGUUUGCCCAGUUCCAUUCCCAGUUCCCUCCCAGUCCCUCCCAGUCCUUCCCGGUUCCCUCCCAUUCCCUCCCAGUCCCUCCCAGUUCCCUC
rnacentral:lncRNA from 1 species